rnacentral:rRNA from 1 species
GAACGCUGGCGGCGUGCUUAACACAUGCAAGUCGAACGAAGCAUUUAGGACAGAUUACUUCGGUUUGAAGUUCUUUAUGACUGAGUGGCGGACGGGUGAGUAACGCGUGGGUAACCUGCCUUGUACUGGGGGAUAGCAGCUGGAAACGGCUGGUAAUACCGCAUAAGCGCACAAUGUUGCAUGACAUGGUGUGAAAAACUCCGGUGGUAUAAGAUGGACCCGCGUCUGAUUAGCUAGUUGGUGAGAUAACAGCCCACCAAGGCGACGAUCAGUAGCCGACCUGAGAGGGUGACCGGCCACAUUGGGACUGAGACACGGCCCAGACUCCUACGGGAGGCAGCAGUGGGGAAUAUUGCACAAUGGAGGAAACUCUGAUGCAGCGACGCCGCGUGAGUGAAGAAGUAAUUCGUUAUGUAAAGCUCUAUCAGCAGGGAAGAUAGUGACGGUACCUGACGAAGAAGCUCCGGCUAAAUACGUG